AGUGAACGCUGGCGGUAGGCCUAACACAUGCAAGUCGAACGGCAGCACAGAGGAGCUUGCUCCUUGGGUGGCGAGUGGCGGACGGGUGAGGAACACAUCGGAAUCUACUCUGUCGUGGGGGAUAACGUAGGGAAACUUACGCUAAUACCGCAUACGACCUACGGGUGAAAGCAGGGGACCUUCGGGCCUUGCGCGAUUGAAUGAGCCGAUGUCGGAUUAGCUAGUUGGCGGGGUAAAGGCCCACCAAGGCGACGAUCCGUAGCUGGUCUGAGAGGAUGAUCAGCCACACUGGAACUGAGACACGGUCCAGACUCCUACGGGAGGCAGCAGUGGGGAAUAUUGGACAAUGGGCGCAAGCCUGAUCCAGCCAUACCGCGUGGGUGAAGAAGGCCUUCGGGUUGUAAAGCCCUUUUGUUGGGAAAGAGAUCCAGCUGGCUGAUACCCGGUUGGGAUGACGGUACCCAAAGAAUAAGCACCGGCUAACUUCGUGCCAGCCGCCGCCGUAA
rnacentral:rRNA from 1 species